rnacentral:misc_RNA from 1 species
GAUUAAUUUGUUAAAGUUAUAAAUAUUUGGAACCUUAAGUAGUAUAUGCAAAUGUAUUUUAAUUAAACUCAAUAUUAUAAUCGCUUUCUAUUUACCACUAUUAGUUGCAUCUUGGCAAGUGGAAAAGCUCUUAGAAUCUCUACCUACGGAGCUAAUACUAUUGUCUCUUUCGUACUUUCCUCCCAUAAUCAAGACUUUUUCUAUUUGACAGUUUUCUUUCUUUACAGGGGUGAACUCUCACUGACAUAUUGGCUUGAAUAUCUUCUCCAAGUUCUUGUCUUCACGUGUUU